ensembl:misc_RNA Metazoa_SRP Metazoan signal recognition particle RNA
GCCGGGCAUGGUGGCUCAUGCCUAUAAUCCCAGCACUUUGGGAGGCUAAGACAGGUGGAUCACCUGAGGUCAGGAGUUUGAGACCAGCCUGGCCAACAUGGUGAAAGCCUGUCUCUU